UGGGGAAUUUUGGACAAUGGGCGAAAGCCUGAUCCAGCAAUGCCGCGUGUGUGAAGAAGGCCUUCGGGUUGUAAACCUCUUUUAGUAGGGAAGAAGCGAAAGUGACGGUACCUGCAGAAAAAGCACCGGCUAACUACGUGCCAGCAGCCGCGGUAAUACGUAGGGUGCGAGCGUUGUCCGGAAUUAUUGGGCGUAAAGAGCUCGUAGGCGGUCUGUCGCGUCUGCUGUGAAAACCCGAGGCUCAACCUCGGGCCUGCAGUGGGUACGGGCAGACUAGAGUGCGGUAGGGGAGAAUGGAAUUCCUGGUGUAGCGGUGGAAUGCGCAGAUAUCAGGAGGAACACCGAUGGCGAAGGCAGUUCUCUGGGCCGUAACUGACGCUGAGGAGCGAAAGCGUGGGGAGCGAACAGGAUUAGAUACCCUGGUAGUCCACGCCGUAAACGUUGGGCGCUAGAUGUGGGGCACCAUUCCACGGUUUUCCAUGUCGCAGCUAACGCAUUAAGCG
rnacentral:rRNA from 1 species